AUGUUGCUAAGCUCGACUUCUGAGACCCUGCAGGGUGGUAUUGCAGGGAGGGUAUUCCGCAGCACCGAGGCUGGUGUUUUCCAGAGGUUGACCUGAUAUUUCUGUGCUUUUGAGAAGAGGUCGAUUUUCACUUUCUCACCUUGUGAUUUAUGCAAUAUUAGGAACUGCGUGGGGAGUUUUAGGUGUGGAAGGCUCGACCAUAGGGAACCGAAUGGCUCCAGGCAAACGUCAAGCAUCUCGGGUAAUGCUGAGAACGUGCUCACUGGCUGUCGAUGCUGGACUCCUGAGAUAGUGGCCACAAAGGCAUAGAGGAUAAGCAUGGUGGGCGUGGUCAUUCGACACAAAACCGCAGAAACUGAAGCUGAGCGUUGUCAUCUGUCAUCGAAGGACCCCAAGCAGAAUCAUUGCCAGAAAGAACCGUCCUGAGGGGUUGGCACAGGGCUCCUGAGGACCUGCCACCGAGCACUUACCAAAGUCCAAAAAGGUGGUGCUUCCUUUCAUGGAUUAGCUCCCUGAAUGUUGGGAGCAACCCUAUGAAGUAGCUACCGGUACUGAUUUAAAGAGGAAACUGUGAUCUAGAGCAUCCGGGAGCUGUUCAGUUUUGUAAUUGCUCCAAAUGGUGCAAUUGAGGAUCGACAGGGCCAAGGCACACACCCGGGUCGGUCUUAUUUCAAAGCUCUUGCCCUUGACGUGAAGUGUCAAUCGAUUUAUUAACACAAUAAAUAACCGCAUCCCAUUUUUUAAUGAAAAACUGAGUCACUGGAACCUAUUUUUAUGACAAAAUAGGUCAGUAUGCUAUACGGCAUGCUUCCCAAACAAGUGGGUGAAUAUAUUUAAUAUUUAUGGCUCCUCUUGAAAUCUUUCUUAUUCAAAAGCUUCAGACAGAAGCUUCUGGAAAAAUGCACUUGGUCUUCCAAACCCAGAUUUAUGUGUCUACUGGAUUCUAACACUCUUUUUUCACUUUAGGGAAAACUCUGGGGUGUUUGCACAGAAAAGUGGUGAAGGACGUCAGGACAGUAGGUAUGAAAUUAAUUGAGCUCCGCCAAAGAAAAAUCUUGUGAAAUUAAAAAGGUACUGUACCCAAUUAUUUGAAAUGUUGCAUUUGCUGUAUAACAGAAUGUAAAAUCUUCAGUGUCUAUCCAGGACACGAUUAUUUGAAGCACUGAAUGAUGUCAAAUGGCGAAAGGCCCCGGACACGUGUGUGUGUGUGUGUGUUGCAAUUGCCUGGGCCUGCAUCUAUUCUCACCCGUCACCAUCCCGGGAGCCCGUCUUGUCCUCGAGUAUCGUCCUGAGGUGGGGGUGCUUUUUUGUCCCCUUCCAUGUUCCCUGGCAGCUGAAGCCAACAAUUCUGUCCGGGGCACAGCAGCUGCCCUUCAAGCUUGAAUAUGGUCCACGGGGAGUCCCCAAAUACAACAAAAAUGAAAACCCAAAAAUAUCUACUAAAAAAGAGAAAAAUGAACAACUGGAAACACUCGAGGUAAGACACCGUAUCAUUAUUUCAUUAACUGGUGGCCUACUUCGUCCAAGUUCAGUGUCACUGGGGCGCCUCUGGACGGGACCAGCAGAGACUGCUUCCACUCCAUGUAGUUAAAUGGAUGCUCGCAAGUCUGAGGACUUUCUGAGUCUCCCCGGGAGCAGGCAGAACGGAGCCACACCACAGCCUUCCUGACCCGCCGGUGGAAGGCCUGCCCUUGCAGGGGAUCAGCGCAUGAUGUGCCAGGUCCUAGGAAGUGAGGGGACGAGGUGGCAGGGAGGGGGGAGGGGCGCUGCGCCCUCUGGGCCUGCCACACCCAGCUCAACGAGCUGCAGCCUUAAGUGAGCUGCUAACACUUGCUCCCCGUACGGCACACCCAUGACCAAGUGCACCAAGGCCCGGCCAGCUCGAUUCUGACCUUGUUACUUAUCUAAAAACAAAAAACAAAUAGCCUUCCCUGUGGGUCCGUAGGAAUAUUCUCCCUGAUCACACCGCACCACAAACCAGGCCCAGACACACCCUCAGGUCAGUGGGGUGGGGAGGGCCGGGCGGUUCAGUUGAUGACAUUCUUUCCUGUAGGAGACGAGUAUUGCCUCAUAGACCCAAGGACAUUUGUCUUCUUUUUGGUUUACGAACAGAAGAUAAACUGUCUUGUAAAAUAUUUGAGGACACCGAGAGUGACCAUUCCUCUGACAUUCCUAUCCAAUUGGACAUCACUCACUCGGGGACUUAGAAAUCUGCCCUCACAGCUGCCCCGGUGACAAAGUAUUGUUUGUGACUUUGGUGCCACGACAGCAAUAUUAUGAAGAGUGUAUUUAGUAUUCGGUUCCGCUUUAUACGCUUGGUACCUUUGCUUACCUAUGAAUAAAAAAUACACAGAAAUAUGUAGAAAUAGAACUGACAGUUUUUAUUAUUUACUUUUUAAAAGUGUGUAUAUUUAGGCUACGCCGUGUGAUAUUUUAAAACUCUGAAUGCGAACCAGAGCAGCACAGAUAAUACAGAUGAUGCUGUUCAGAGGAAAAAGAAAUUCUAUGCGUGGAUUAAAUGUCUACUACUCUACGACUGAUGAAAUUUCUCCUGAAUGCCAUUAUCGCUCUAAGAUUUCUUCAAGAUUCUUCAUUUUCAAAUCACAGUGUUACUACAAUCUUUUUCUUUUGGUACAAAGUUAAUCUAGAUGUGAAAAUGAACUGGGGUAUCAUUAUGAGCAUGGACGCCAAGGUUGGUUCACAGGAGGCAGAAGGGUGUGGGAAUGACCUCCAGCAGCGGCGGCAUGUGACACAGAAACCAGAAGUCCCCUGGGCCUCCCAACCCCUCAGGCGGGGGCCAGGCAGCCAGCAGGGCUCAGCGUGUGCAGAGGUGUGGCCAUCAGUGGGCCCCCGGGGGCCGGGGAGUUCAGAGCACCUCACCUGGGUCUCCGCAGGUAGACUGACACUUGCAAGUAAUCCAACCAUCUGAAUAAAUGCAGAAGCUGUCGACUCAGCCCAAAUGGUGGACUCAGUUGUGUGGUCAGCAAAGGUGAGCAACUUGGCAGAGACGUGUGUUUCGAAGGACAUCGGGGACUUCACUGUCAUGGUGCAUAGAAAUCUCUAUGGAGAGGAGGAACGAGACACCUUUCCACGGCCCGAGCUGAGUUCGCCUCUGCAGCCGGUGUUGCCGGAGUCGCCAGGCUCUGCCCCCCAUUUCAUUCCCUGCAGCGCCUUCCACGGGCCGUCCCAGGACAGGAAGUCGGUGACCAUUUCCUUGGUUUGAGAACUGUGACGAUUUUGAGGAGUACUGGUCAGAUACUUUGCACAUUGUCUCUCAAGUGGGAUUUGUCUGAGGUCAGAGUUAGGUUGGAGGGUUCGGCGAGGAAGGCCACGGCGACCAAGCACCUUCAGCAUCAAGCCCUGUUAACAUUGACCUUGACCAUGGGACUCAGGUGUGUUGGCCAGGUUCCCCCCAGUGAAGUGACUCUGCUUUCUCCUCUUUCCUGUGCUGUUCAGAAGGAAGUCACCGUGCUGGAGACACACAGGAGGAAGGGGUGGUGUCCCCCUUCCCCCUCCUUGGGGCAGGAAAUACCUGCCUAGAUGACUUGGGAUUUUUCUAGACAGGAGGUUGGUUUCAUUGCCCUGUUUACGUAUUUAUUCAAUUGUUUAUUCAUAUUAAUGAACACGCAUGGGUAUUUACUCUAUACACACAUUUUUUAGAAUGCACACAACUUGUCCGAUUAAAUGUAGACCCCCAGAUCCCAGGCCCAGGGAAUGCUUCUGUGGGCCCAAACACGCCUCUGUCCCAGACACCGCUCGGUCUCCACGCACAUCCUUCCCCAGGGACCCUGGGCUGCCCUGGUCCGCCGUCCGCAGCUGAAGGCCAGUCAGUCCUGGGAGACCCAGCCGCAGCGAUUCCCCGGAAGGUGGGCUUUCUUUUUGCUUCCUCAGCAGUUUGUGUCGGCACCUGUGAUGGCAUUUGCUGUCUUAGCUAAUAUUCAUUGUCCUGUGUGUCUUUCUAACGAGAUCGCCAAGUCCUCUCUAUUUCUUGGUGUCUGACUCCCUGCCCGGCGCAGCUGCGGUUCUGAACAAUACACUGGAAUAAACAGACAAGGAAUGAUACUUCGCUAGUUAACAGAGCUGAUGUUAGAGGCCUUCUUUUUAGAGAAGAAUAACAUGGUGGUUGACCUGCCGUCAAUAGGAUAGAUGCUCUGAGUUGUUUUUAUCUUCUGCUCGUGAUGAUGUGGGUUUCUCUGUGUGCGGGGAUCUUUUAAGACCGGGCAGCUCUGAGAGGGCUGGUCAGAGUUAAGGUCGUGGUUUAGACAAGGAACGGCCUUUGGCUCUGUGAGCAGAACGCACCCCUGGGCCAGAGCAGAAUCCGCGUGACCUUGGCCUCGUUAGCAGAUGCCCUAAUGAACCGAGCCCACCAGCCAGACUACAAAGCCAGCAGGAGGGGAAUCUCACCCACACAGUCCACUUUGUAACAGAAAAUUUGCAGCCUGUUAUCACUACACACAGAAUAGACGGACUGGAUUGUGUCAAAUCGUCAGGAAAAUAUUCGUCAGUCGGAAAACAGACAAGUUAGCCGACCACCGUGUCUAACUUUUUUUUUUGCCUAGACUUUGACUGGUGAUUGGGCUGGUUUGUGUUUGUGGAAACAGUCACGUUUUUCUUGCCAAAAAAGAAUGUUCUUUUUCUCCAUGGAAACUUAAUGAAAUAACAGUUACAUCACAUAAAUGCAUUUCCUUAAGAAUAUGUGUCAGGCUAUCAAAUCCGUUAAGGAAAAUGCUCAUCUUUUUUUCUGUUUGAAAUUCUGGACGGGCGUCUUGGGUUCCAAGUUAAGCGAGUUCAUAGCGCCACCUAGUGUUUAAACACAGCGAUUGGCGCAACUGGAGCAGCUGUAAGUCCGGUGUUGGCUGUAAACAGGCAUCAUCCCUUCUCUUCCCCAACCUGUCCCGUGGCUGAGCCAGCGCGUUUUCGGGUUUGGGUUUAUUAGUCCCAUUGUUUGGGUAGCGACGGGGGGCCUCACACUCACAGGUGUAAGAAAUCUUCCAUUCAACCACAGCUUGUAAAGGAUCCCCAACCACAGCAGAAACACACGCCCCUUUCCUUUUUAGAGGAUUAGCGUGAAAUGAACCCACAAAUAAAACCAAACGGUAGCAGGAUAAAGGAUGGAAGCCCAGCUUUAGAUAAAUUAGGUCUCUUCCCACCCAAAGAGGGUGAAUAAAAAUAGAGGGGCCCAAGGACAGAUGGUAUUCGAUUCCAUGUACUUCAGAAAAGGUAUAACCUCUGAGUGAGUUUGGGAUUAAGUACAGAGAGGAACACGUUCACUGAGCAAAUAAAGCAACGUGCAAAAGAAGGAAUUCCGUGUUUGUAGUUCGAGUAAACCAGCAAACCUCUUUUUAUCCUGUGGUUCCUGCUCAGGGCCCUCCCACUCCACUGAAAAUAGGGCCACGUUUCAGAACCUUAUUUAAAAUUAGAAGGGCAGCCGUGGCUGGUGUGGCUCAGUGGACUGAGUUCAUGCCUGAGAACCAAAGGGUGGCUGGUUCCAUUCCCAGCUGGGGGCACAUGUCUGGGUUGCGGGCCAGGUCCCCAGUAGAAGGCGCUGGAGAGGCAACCACACAUUGAUGUUUCUCUUUCUCUCUUUCUCCCUCCCUUCCCCAUCUCUGUACAAUAAAGAAAUAAAAUCUUUUUAAGAAUCCUCUUAAAAAUAGAAUAAAAUGAAACUAGGAGGGCAACAAGCAUGGCGCACAGCCUCUUGAUGUGGAGACGUUCUGGUCAGGGCGCACGAUGCAGCCUGUGUCCUGUUUU